ensembl:lncRNA
AUAAUGUUCCAGAAUAUUCACAGGUGAAUAAAGAUUACUCUGUUGUCCCAUUUGAAUGCAAUGCCACUGCUGGGAGUGCCAGAAAGUUUGAUUACCUGGUCACCUUUGUUGCAAGAAUGGAACUUUGGGUGAUCUUCAUAAUGUUGAUAGAAGCUGGUUCAAUAAAGUAUUUCAAAGCUAGAAUGCUCCUCAGAGCACUGAAACUUUUGGUCAUAGAAGGAGACAUCUGCAAGUAAAUGACUUUAUGGUAAGCAUCAUAUUUUGAAGAGCUCCCUAACUGACCGUGAUAUAAUAAUGACACCUACAAACACUUAGCUUUGGGGAGGCUCUGAUGGAACUCACAGAUCUGUAUGGUCAGAAAAAGGUCUCCUGGUGCCCACGUGAGUGAAAGGGCAGCAUGCAAUAAUGCAUGAUGGUAGAAAGAGCACUGGCCAGGAACCCAAUGACCUGGCCAGCUGCGUGCUUACUGCCUUUGUGAUCUCAGACAUUCUCUGACCCCUUAGAGUUCAGUCUCAUCAGUAAAUGAAGAUGGAUGCUGGCAUCUGCUGUGUACCCUACUGUGCUGUGAACAUUUGAGAAAGCUUCACGAAUCCUUGACUAAACAACCAGUGUCUUACUGUUCUUGUCAAAAGGUAAUGAGAGUUAGAAUCAAAUUGUCUUUUAUUAAGGAAAUAUGUUUAUAACCAAAUUACUUCCUGAGAACUUCAUGUUUCCUGGCAUGGUCUUUCAUUUCUUUCCUAAUAUAAAAUUUGUCAGGAAACCUAUGUUCCACUGAGUAGAAAAUUACAUAGCCAGUAAAUAUAUUUUCAAAUGUCUUAUUUUAUGGCCAUGUCCUUUGGUCAUCUAGAUGUGGGUUUUUUUGGAGGGAGUCUUAGCCAGAGAUCUUUUUAGUACAGGGGACAGAAACCCAUCCAAGUUAGUUCAGAUAAGAGAGACCUUGUCACAAAAAGAAAAAAUCAGCAGGCCAUCUCACAUGCAUCCCCAUCAACGUAGUGCCAUUCCUCAUGCAACUGGGUUUGGGAGACCUUCAAAAUCAAAGUGGUGCCUUUUCUGUUUUUUGAUGGCUUCAUGCUUAUUUUUCUCUUAUAUAAACUAUAAACACACACACCACAAAACUGGCCCAGUCAAUACUCCCAAGUCUAGAUGACCUUAUUGGUCCAAUACCCAUGUACAUGCGUCUCUUAAUCUCUUUCCUUCUUCCUUCUUCUUCUUGUCUGGACUGUGGAUGCAAUCCUAUUCUCUCCACAUCAGCUUCCUUUUUAGGCUCAGAGUGGCAUGUCACCAAAGCUAUAGAAUGACAAGCAAAUUUGGAAAUGUACUUUUACAGAACCACGUUGGGGUGAGUUACUUAACCUCCUUGUGUCUCAGUUUCCUCAUCUCUAAAAUGAGGGUAAUACUAUUCCCAAUCAUAGUGCCUGGUCCAUCAUGCUCAACAUUAGCCAUUAUCCUUAUUAAAUUUAUGGCGAGGUUAAUUUAUGAAAACGACCAAAAGCAGGCAUAGGACGUAUAAUCCAAACACUGUAUCAAGUUCUAAAAUAAGAUGAAGUAAACACUGCAUUGAGUUUGUCAGGUAAGUUUCCAGAGAAGAUGACUUGGCCUAGGUCUUGAAGGAAGCGAUUGAAAUGACUUGGUGAAGAGAGAUGUUUUGGUUUUCAAUGACUAUGUGACAAACUAUCCCAAAACUUAGUGGUUUAAAACAACGAUUAUUUAUUUACUCACAAUUCUGCAAUUUGGGCAGGCCUUGUCUGAAAUGGCCCAUCUCUGUUCCACAUGGCAUCUACUGGCUGAACCAUCCAAGAUGGCCUCCUUACUUAUAUGCCUGGCACAUCAAGUGGGGCUAGCCAGACAUCCUCUUUCCAUGUGGCCUCUCCAUGCGGCUGGCCUGGGCUUCCUAUCACCAUGAUGGUCUCAAAGUGGUCAGACUUCUUACAAUGUGGUCGACUUCCCCAUAAUGCAAAAGCAGAAGCUUCCAGACCUUCUGAGUGCCUGAGCUCGGAAGUCCCAGAACGUCAUUUCCACCACAUUUGAUCCAUCAAAGCAGUCACAGGGCCAGCCCAGCUUCAAGGGGAGGGGACUGCACAAGCCCAUGAACAUCAGGAGGCGUGGUUCACUGGAGCCACAGAGGAAAGAGACUGUGACAAGAGGUUAACACAGAAGCUUAGGCGCAGGGAACAGUAAAUGCAAAAAACCCAAACCCCAGGAUAGGCCAUGAUGAGCAUUUGAGAAUUACGAAGGAGACUGGCUGGCUAUUGUUUUGAAAGACAGGAAUAGAAUCUGAGGGUUUAUUUGGAUCUAAAAUAGUUCAGUUGUAUCCCCUAUACUGAGCCAAAGGUCCAAACUAGGAAGUAAGAGAACCCCCCACCCCCCAAGUGUCCUUGUUCCUGGAAGCCAUGAAAUCCACUGAACAUGUGUCAAGCUGUUAAACUGGCAGACACGCCGGCAGAGCCCAACAGUGGGGAAGGCUCUGGGUCGGGCCCCUGGUAAGAAGUUCCCUCCCAGGGUCACUCUUCAUCACUCACUGUCAGCAUUUUUCCCUCUCAAUUUUUCCCUCUAUUUCUGGGUUUCCUGAAGCAGUAAAACCACUAAUUUUCUGUGGGCUGAUUAUUUUCCAUGUGAGUAGAUCUGGAAAUUUUCCUAAAGAAUCAGCUUUUGGUUGGGUUGAUGCUGAGUCUGUUUGGGGAGCUGCUUUCUGCCGCCAUGGUUCGGGGUGGGUUUGAUAGAGGGAGCGUCUGCUCUUGGUACAAGGCGGGUGCAAGGGCGCUCACCGUGGUUGCCUCACUGGGGCUUGCAUCGCAUGCACCAGUGUUUCUCUCUCCUGUCCCAGAAACAGAGACCUCAGGCGUUCCUUCUAAAGUUACCUCUCUGCCUUAGAAGGUUGGCGGAGCCCCUCAAACCACAGAGAAGGUGCCAGCAUUCGUGCUGAUCAGGAGAAGACCAAGCUCCCAUGUGAAAGAUGCCCUCCCUAAACCAGGAGGAAAGAAACAUUCUUAUCACCAGAGAUGGAGAACAGAGGCUGAGAGAAAUCUGUACAAACAGAUCUUGUGAAAAUAACCCUUAUCUUCUUUAGUCUCCCUAUCAUUAUGGUUAUUUUUCCACAAUUACAACUUUUGUUCAACCUAGUAUAUAAGUUAGGCAUUUAAGCCUGACCGCUUUUAGGGUCUUCAUUUUCCUGUGAGGGCUCCCAUAUGCAUGUAAAAAUAUCAAAUAAAAUUUGUAUGUUUUUCUCCUGUUAAUCUGUCUUAUAUCAACUUAAUUCUCAGGCAGUGAGAUAAUGGAAAAUAUAUAUUGGUCUCUGGUUCCUGGCACAGAGCACGUAAACCCCUUGUAAUUGCCUAAGUGAUAAGAACACUAGAAGCAUCUCUUGUUCUAACGUUGGUCUUUGACCUCAGUUCCUGACACAGGGCUCCUGAAACCCUUGUAACUUCCUGGGUAAAAGGAGUGUCUUGUUUUAAUGAGGUGACUCUGGACUCCUCAAUGAGAGCUGGUUACCAGAAGGACCAAGUCAUGAUUAGAAGCUUGGAAUUUUCAGCCCCACCUCCCAUUCUCUUGAGAAGGGAGAUGGGGCUGAAAAUGCAGUUGAUGUUCAAUCAUGCCUAUGUGACAAAGCCUCCGUAAAAUCCCAAAAGUAUAGGGUUUGGAGAGCUUCCAGGUUGGUGAACACAUGGAGGUGCUGGGAGAGUCACGUGCCUGGAGAGGGCACGGAAGGUCCACGUCCCUUCCCAUAUACCUUGCCCUACGCAUCUCUCCCCUCUGGAUGUUCAUCUGUAUCCUUUAUCAUAGCCUUGUAUAAUGAACUGGAAAUGUAAGUGAGCUGUUUCCCUGAGUUCUGUGAGCCGCUCUAGCAAAUUAAUCAAACCCAAGGACUGAGUUGUUGGAACUUCCAAUCUAUAGCCGGUUGGUCAGAAGCACAGGUGACAAUCUGGGCUUGUGACUGGCAUCUGAGGGGUGUGUGUGUGUGUGUGUGUGCAGGGGGCAGUCUUGUGGGGACUGAGACUUUACACUGUGAAUCUGACGCUAUCUCUGGCUUGAGUCAGAAUUGAAUCAAAUUGUGGGACGCCCAGCUGGUGUCGCAGAAACUUGCUCAUUGUUGUGAUGACAAACCUCCACACGUUUGGUGAGCAGAAGUGUUCUCUGUGAAGGUAAAGGAGACACACAGGGAAGAAACUUAUAGUAGGGAAGAACUGGAUUUUUCCCUUCAUAGGAAGGAAAAAACUGAGUUUUUCCAUUUAAUCAGGCCCAGCCGGAGACUGUAACAGGGUAGAGGGAAAGUCUUGCCUUCCCCAGAGAAGCUUGUUAACUACUUGGUGUUGGUUGAAAAACAACAUCCUCUCUCCCCCUCACCCACGCUUUCUGCCAGUUCCUGGGAUUGUUGAAAUGGGAAGGAGUUGUAAAGAGGUGAGGGGGUUAUUCAGGGGUUCCUAGAAGGAAUGUUGUGAGUAUGAAUGCCAUUCCAGGGGUCCUUGGCCCUAUCUCUGCUUUGCCUCUGUCUCUCUCGAGAUCGUUUGUUCCUUGUUCUGUUUUUCAGAAGUGAAAGAAAUUAGAUUUCAGAAUCACUUGACAGGAGGAGAGGAGGUGCAAGAAAACAC